rnacentral:rRNA from 1 species
UACGAAGGGUGCAAACGUUGCUCGGAAUUAUUGGGCGUAAAGCGCACGUAGGCGGCUUAGCAAGUCGGAUGUGAAAUCCCUCGGCUCAACCAAGGAAGUGCAUCCGAAACUGCUGAGCUUGAGUACGAAAGAGGAUCGCGGAAUUCCCGGUGUAGAGGUGAAAUUCGUAGAUAUCGGGAGGAACACCAGUGGCGAAGGCGGCGAUCUGGGUCGAUACUGACGCUGAGGCGCGAAAGCUAGGGGAGCAAACGGG